CUCACUGAGCGCUGCUGCCACCUGCUGGAAGAAUGGCGGUACUACAGGCGCUGUGCGCAACAGAGGGCUCACUGCUGCCGCCUGCUGGGAAAAUAGAGGCGGUGCAGAUGCUGAUCCGCGCACGAGUAGCAGCGCAGUCUCGCGCCCCACUGCCCCAGAUGUGCGUGAGCAAAGCGGCACCCGCAGUACCGCAUUUCAUUCCACGGGCGGCAGCAGCGGGCGCCACGGCACUGGUGCGCAUGCGCAGCGCUGGGGCGGUGGCGUGGAAAUCUGCCUCUGCCGCAGGGGAGCGCUUGGAGCGUCUUGAGGCACAUUGAAGAUCCUGGAGUACAUCGUUGAGCAUCCAGCUCUGCAGUCAGGGCCCUGGGCAGGCCUGCCGGGCACUUGGGAGAGCUUCUGGCUGUGGGUUCUGCAGGUUUGCUGCUGCCUGGCUUUCAAAUAAGCCCUCUGGGUGAAGUGCACUGUGCUGUAUAGAUGGAUGCUUGACCUCACCUGGCAUAGCCUGUGCCAUUCCAGUGUGAUUCCUUGGGCGUGUGGCUGUGUCCCAUAGCAGGGCAUUGUACUGCAGCCACCGCAGGUUCCUGCCCAGCUCCUUGGCAAUGCAAUACAGUGAACUCCCUGCCCGUGUCCCCACAUGGAGCACACCCAAGUGUCCCUGCUGGAUGAGGAGCAGCGGUGAGAGCCCCAUGGUGUGCAAGCAAACGCAAUGUCCUUUUGGCCAUCAGGAUAUUGUGGAGAUGUAGGCCUUAGGGGUACGCAGGUGAAGACAUGAGUGAAAUGGGGCCAACAACCGCCUGGAAAAUUCCAAUCUGAGCAGUUUUAAUGUUGACAAAAGCUGAAUACAAAAGAACUCUGUUGCAGCAACAGGAGCCAACAGUUCUGAACCAACUUCUGAACCAACAGUUUGCUGCUUGUAGAUUUCUUUUCCUCCCAUCAAUGCCUUCCGAUUUGGAGCUGAAAGACUUUAGGGGACGAACGCUGACAGCAGGGCUGUUUGCUAAGUGACCUCAGGGCAGUGACCCUAACGUUGUGCUCAGUGUCUCACUUCGCUCCCAGUGUGGCUGCAGUGGGAUGUGUGCUCUGGCAGUGCCAUCCCAUGGCUCCCUGGGGACCCUUUGAUGGCAGCAGAAGAGUUGAGCCAUGCACAGCCAUGGGGGGCACAUCUCCACGUUCCUUGUGCCCCAGCAUGGUACUGAACACAUGCAAGAGGUGAGGAAGCUUCCAGCAAAUGAACAAGGACAACAGCUGCUUGUUCUUCAGAUGUGAUGGCAGAGAACUUUGGGAGUGUACUGGGAAUUCCUGAUGUGCUGGGGUGUAAUGGCUGAAGUGAGGCCCUUUUAAAUUUUGCAUUACAGGGCCUGGGCUUUAACUGUUUGAUGUACCGAGGAAGGCAAAGGCAGGUAGCUGACACCUCCCUUGAAAUAAGAAUCUCUACGAUGGUAUUCCUGAAGAAUCUCUCUUAUUGUUAUUGAGUCACUUGGUGGGAUGGCAUAGCAUAAAUGCUGGGAAUGGGGAGUGCAGCCUCAUUUGUCAGGUACUGUAUGAGUCUCAGGGUUGGAAGAUUGCAGUUUGAGGAGGAGGACGACGGAAAGAUGAGGACAACAGUGGCACCAGCACAGAAGUGCCUCUGCGCACAGCAACCAUCCCCCAGCUGGUGACAGCUGUGACCCGUGUCAAGUAAGGCAUCUUGUUAGAAACAGGUGAUGAUGAUUUCUGGCUGCCACAGGUGCAGCUGGGUCCUGCUGAGUGUCCCUCCAGGCCUGGAGGGGGUACAGGUGGUGACUCCCAGACAGAUCUGCUGUCCUUCUCACAGCAGAGGGCCA
ensembl:lncRNA